AUGGUGUUUGGUUUAUCAAGGUUUUGUUCUACUGUAGGACAUGUUGAAGGUUUCUGUGUUGAUGUUGCUGGGUUUGCUCUCAGUGUUGAUUCGGUAACUUGAUGGUCUACUUUGCUUUUUUGCUUUGUGUAAGCAAGGACAAAGCCAAAAGAAUAGAAGUUUUGAGACAAGUCUUCCAUUUGCUUCUUUGGAGGUGUAGUUUCUGAGGAAAAAUAUCUGAUACUUCACUUAAAUCAAGUUUGACUAA
rnacentral:lncRNA from 1 species